rnacentral:rRNA from 1 species
UACAGAGGUCUCGAGCGUUAGGCGGAAUCACUGGGCUUAAAGCGUGUGUAGGUGGAUGCCUAAGUACCUUGUGAAAUCCCACAGCUUAACUGUGGAACUGCUUGGUAUACUGGGUGUCUUGAGUCACUCAGGGGCGAGCGGAACAAAUGGUGGAGCGGUGAAAUGCGUAGAUAUCAUUUGGAACGCCAAUGGUGAAAACAGCUCGCUGGGGGUGUGCUGACACUGAGACACGAAAGCCAGGGGAGCGAACGGG